CGAAGGUCCCAAGCGUUAUCCGGAUUUAUUGGGUUUAAAGGGUGCGUAGGCGGGCUAUUAAGUCAGUGGUGAAAGCCCCCGGCCUAACCGGGGAACUGCCAUUGAUACUGAUGGUCUUGAGUACAUUUGAGGUGGGCGGAAUGUGUCAUGUAGCGGUGAAAUGCUUAGAUAUGACACAGAACACCGAUUGCGAAGGCAGCUCACUAAACUGUAACUGACGCUGAGGCACGAAAGCGUGGGGAGCAAACAGGAUUAGAUACCCUGGUAGUCCACGCCCUAAACGAUGAUCACUCGAUGUGUGCGAUACACUGUACGCGUCUGAGCGAAAGCAUUAAGUGAUCCACCUGGGGGAGUACGGCCGCAAGGCUG
rnacentral:rRNA from 1 species